UACGUAGGGGGCUAGCGUUGUCCGGAAUCAUUGGGCGUAAAGAGCGCGUAGGCGGCUGGAAUAGUCCGGUGUGAAAUCCACAGGCUUAACCUGUGAAUGCCGCUGGAAACUGUCUGGCUAGAGUCCGGAAGGGGCGAGUGGAAUUCCAGGUGUAGCGGUGAAAUGCGUAGAUAUCUGGAGGAACACCGGUGGCGAGGGCGGCAUCCUGGACCGGCAUUGACGCUGAGGCGCGAAAGCCAGGGGAGCAAACGGG
rnacentral:rRNA from 1 species